CAAAAGUAUUAUUGGGACCCCAUUCAUGACAAUGUGGUGCGUUUACAUUGGAAGAAGACAAUGAUGUCGUUGAUCUCCAACUUCAUCAGCAAGCGCAAGCGGAGUGGCAAGAUACCUCCAUUCAUGAGUUCAGAGCACUGGGGUGCUUUGCAAACAUAUUGGGGUACUGAACCUGCUAGAAAGAAAAGCAAGUCUGCUUCUGAAAGCCGCUGCUCAGAUCAAGGAGGUCUAGGUCAACACAUCCACACUGCUGGUUCGACACGAUUUAUGAAGAUCAAAUAUGAUACGGUAAAUAUGAAUGUUAAGUUUUAAAAGUUACUCCCUUGUAGUUAUAUCACUAUUAAAUCUCUCGCUAAUACAUUAACUUUAUUUACAUGGUGGUUAGAUGGUUGCUAAUGGUGGGAUUGAACCCUCGUUGAUUGAUCUUGUGAGAAAGACCCAUACUCGGAAAGAUGGCACAUUUGCAGAUGGUCGUGCAAAGAAAAUUGUAGAAGAUGUUGAAGCUGCAGUGACCCAUUCUGAAGGACUUGGCGUGGGGGGGUCUGCUGCAACAACACCAUCACCGCAACAACUUGAUAAGUUUUUUUAUUGAGGUAAAUGGCUUGUAACUAAUUAAGUUUAAAACUUCAUUGUGGUUAUUUGAUUGACACAAUUUUUUUAAUAGGCUGUCCCACCUUACAAAGGGCGUGUUUAUGGCCUUGGCUCUGCUCAUUGUUAUUAUGGUGAUUCCACGCCUUCCACCUCAACUGCUAUCCCACGCACAAUGCAAUUGGAGACAAGGGUGACUUUCAGCGAAGGCAACAUGAGUUCCAUGCAAGGUAGCAUCAACUCCAUGCAAGGUAACAUCAACUCCAUGGCCACAGAGAUUGCUGCUAUCAUGGAAGCCUCACGAAUGCUACUGGAGGCAAAUGGGAUUGAUCCAUCAGUUGUCCUCAAAUCAACAACUACUAAUCCAGCGGAGCCAGCGCAGGAAGCAACUCCGGAGCAGCAGUCACCAACUUUAAACCGCCAAACACAAGCUCCUGCUACCACUCCGAUCAACUUGGGGGACAUGGAACCUCAGUCUUUUGGUGGAUACUUUGAGAAUGAUCUCAACCAGUAGCAUUAUGCUUAAUUUUGUUUUUGUAUUAAAUAGGACUAACGGCAUAUUGAGCGUAUGAAAUGCUCUCUUUUGGUAGAACAUAUUAACUGGUCUUUUUUUAGUAGAACAUAUUAAUGUUCUUUGUUUGGUAUUAGAACAUGUGAAAGUUCUUUGUAUGCUAGAACAUAUGCAUGUUCUGUUUCUGUAAGAAUAUAUGAAUGUCUGUUUGUAUGACUUCGUUUUAAUUAGAAAUAUUUCGGAUAUUAAUAUUUUGUUUUCUAAUUAUUUUUUGUUAUUUGAAAAUUUAUUGGUUGAUAUUAAAUUACAAUUUUACAUUUUUUAAUGUUUUAGUUUGCCACGAAAAUUGACACAUUUCAUAAGUGGCUGUUAGUUAGGGAAUAUUCCGUUGCUAUAUUGUGGUAAAUCUGCUAGGAAUUUUUCGUAGCCAAUUCAUGGCAAAUAGCUAAGGAUUUAACGAGGCAAAAGCGUGGUGAUAAUCGUGGCAUUUAGCCAGGGACUAAACAAUGGCUUAUUCAUAGCUAAUAGCCACGUUCACAAGCCUUGGCAAAACCGCCGCAUAGGCCACGGACAGCUACGGCCUCCACUUUAGCAACGAUCGUAUAUCAACGAAAAAUAAUCGUGGCCUUACGUGGCGAUUUUCAUUUUAGCCAGAGAUGUGAUCCUUUAGCCACACCAAUUUCCCUGGCCAUCCGAUACAUUUCUUGUAGUGUUUGUGGCCAAAACCAAAUUAAGUUGUAGUUUAAAGAUUUAUUGGAUUCUUUAUCUUCCAUUACAUCAGAUUCAUCACCGUUAAAUGCUUUGAAAUCUUCUCAGAGCUCUCUUGCUUAAUCAGAGAAGAGAUUAUUAAUAGAUAUUACCGUCUUUACUUCGCAGCGGGAUGGCUUCACCAAAAUGGAAUCGAGCUGAAACACAGUCUGGAAACUCAAAUUCCUAAUGGCGACACCUGCAUCACCAUCGGCUGUAUCCAAAGCAGGCAUUGUAUCCAAAGAAGCCAGUGCCGUCCUAAUGUAAGUUGUAACCAGGUCUUAUUUUCCUCUCUAAUUUCAAUGUAAAACUAAAUAUUUGAUUUCUGUAGAAUUUGAUUAGUGAUUAAGGUGAGGCUUGAGGAGUAUUGAAUAUUGAUCGCACAACGACUAGAUUGUUCUACUUCAUGUGAUAGUUUAGUUGGAUCAUGUUAUACGCUUUUGAGUAUAACCAUUUACAAGAACCUACUGCUAAUGUAGUGGUGUCUUUUUAAAUUAGUUCCGCCUCCCUCUGUACUUAAAGCACAUCAAUUAAACAUUUGAUGACUUUUUUCAAUGAAUUUUUUUUUAUAUUUUAAUUUGCUUUUUUAGUAAAAGAUUGUGGUAGCUAUAUAAAAUUGAUUUCAAUAUUUAUGUGUUGAAUGGGACGGUGUGAUACUAGGUGUGGAUACCCGAGCAACUGAAGGGCCCAUUGUUUUCUGAUAAGAAUUAUGAGCAAAUUCACUUAAGGGUACCAAACAUAUAUUGAUGUGGGGUUGAACAGUGCAUUCCAAGUUAUGAAGAGAUACAAUAAUGUACUGUUUGAUGGAAGCUCAAUGAAACUAGAGAUUUUGGGUGGAAAUAUGAAGGAUGCUUUUUUUGCAAGCUCGUGUUAAUGCAACUGGAAUGAACGAAAGGAUGAAGAGGACUGAUUCCAUUGAGGAUGUCUUGCUAUUUAAUUUGUCCUUUUUCCACUUACGAAAGAAAACUGAAGUUUGUGACUCUAUACAUGCCACUGAUUAUAGAAAACAAUGAGUUAGAGGCGGGAGAGGCAGACUAGAAAGAUUUGCAACUUCUCCUUUGAGACGCUUUCCAAUGUAAGUAUUAUUGACUCUGAGUACACUUUCAUAUAAACUAUGUGGCGGUUUCCAUCUUCUAAUCAUAUUAUAUUUAGUGGCAGCCAAAACCAACAAGGUGUUGUGAGAAGCGAGGUGGUAGAGGCAGAGGCCAAGCUGAUGGUGGCAAAGGGAAUAAUGGCCCAGCUGGAGAUUGUCGUCCCUAAAAAUUUGCUAGAAAAUGAAAUAAAGAUCUCGGACAUGGACGUGCAGGAUAACAAUAGCAGUAGGAUUUUUACAGUUGCGGAUCCUCACGUAAACACGCUCAUGUCUGUUUAGGAGCAUCCGGAGCUAAAGCCGCUGUUGGUCAGACUUAUGCAACAAUCUUUUUCUGUAACUACGAGGUAUUUCCGCUUGAGUCAAGAGGUUAGAGGCUGCAACGAGUGUAUGACAGGAUACAAGGUGAUAAUUGUGCUACGAGAUAUCAGUGGGUUACUAACUAAUCAUACGACAGGGAAAAAGCCUCAUCGUUAAGAAAAUUUGCGCCGACCACCAGAGGAGUCAAGAAGCCUCACGUCCCGGAACCGCUGCUCUUCGUGAGAUUGAUUAUAAAAUAAAAUACCAGAAGAGUACAGAGCUGUUGAUCCGUAAAAUUUUAUUAAAUUUGAAGACAGUUAAAUUUACGUUAAUGUAUUUCAAUAAUUUUAAGAAAAACAAGGCAUAUUUUCAUAUUUUCAUAUUAAGAUCUAUAUGUAUAAAAAUAUGUUCGCUUCACUCCUGUUGCGCCACGUCAUAAAGUCGGUUCCUGACAGGCCGACACGUGUCCGGGUUGGAUGAUACUCACCGUUUCACUUAAGCACAAUUAUUAAUGGGCUUUUCUCUUUUUGUUAAUAAAUAUUUCAGAUCAGUGAUUUGGGCUUAACAUAAUUGGGUUUCUGGGCUCUAGGGUAACAUAUGAGGGGGUCCCACAUGAGACGGCUUCUUCUCCAAAAAUAAUGUCGACGAACGAAAGACAGAUCUACUGCGUUUUAACAACUCCGGUUCAAACCUACGGCCAAUGAGGAUUUGCUGCACCGGCCACGCUGAAUUCCGAUCAAGGUCAGUUGGAAGGCGUCGUAUUUGGCUGUUCGAUUCCACUUCUUCUACCCUUGGUUGAAUUUUCCUCAUCAAAUUUAAAAUAUUUUUUUUUAUUAAAUCGAGCAUGCAAUCUAACUUACCAUGUAAAUUUAUUAACAAAACAAUAAUGUAUUUCAAUAAUUUUAAGAAAAACAAGGCAUAUUUUCAUAUUUUCAUAUUAAGAUCUAUAUGUAUAAAAAUAUGUUCGCUUCACUCCUGUUGCGCCACGUCAUAAAGUCGGUUCCUGACAGGCCGACACGUGUCCGGGUUGGAUGAUACUCACCGUUUCACUUAAGCACAAUUAUUAAUAAAUAAAGAUUUAUUGUAUGUUUAUAUUUUAAAUGGGAUGAAUAAGCUGUUGAUUUAGGUAAUUAUUCGGUAUCAAAAAUCAGAAAACCCAUAUUGGCACAUCACCACAGCUGAAUUCGAGAAACUCAUCCGUAGAAUUAAUCAAGGAGAUUAAUGACAAACUAAGCAAACAAAUGGUGGAGAGGAAAUAGGGAGAGCUGAAAAAAUUGAGAGUUGUACAUUUGGACAGCUGAAAAAAAAUAGAAAGCAUUCUACAGCCUCGCCAUUAAAAAAGUUAUACUACUUGCACCACGAAAUGAAUUCAUCGUAAUCAAUGCUUACACUAUUUUCCAUACUGAUGGGAUCUUGAGAAGGUAUCUCAGAUAUUAGAAACUCUUCAAGAACAUAAUAAACAUUAUAUGCGGUUGAGUACUUUUUUUUUGUUUUUUUUUUGGAAUACACGGAUAUGUAUUCACAUAAUUCUCACUUAAUGUCAAUCAAAAAAGAAGAUUAUGUCAUGGUACAGACAUACAUACAAACGGAAUAUACAAUUACAUCACAAAAAGAAGAAGAAGCAUGAAUUACUUUAGGAAUGACUUCAAGUUUUGAGUCAUAUUCGGAAAAAAAAACCCUUAAAUAAGUUAGUUUAAUUAAGAAUAUUAUAAAACAAAACAUUUGAAUUAAAAUAAAUAUUAAAAAUAUAAUGUUAUUUAUCAGAGAAUAGUGAAAUUUACUGUCAUUAUAAUUCAAAACAAAAAAACUAAAAAAAAAAUUUCCUAUAUUUUGCAAAAUCAAUCUUAACUCAUGGAUAAAAUUAUGUGUGGCUCGCUCACGUGUUAUUGGCAAAACCGGAUUGACAACUAUACAAAAAAAGACUACCUACAAUAUUAUAAAAAAAAGAAAAAAUUGCCAAAACACCACGGAAAAACAACUAUAUUGUCUCUUUACCAUAAAUCCUUUUUUUGGUCGGAUUUGGACUUAGAUCCCCCUGACCAAUUUCAAAAAUUCAUAUCAAUUAUUUUAAGAAACAGAAAAAUAUGAAAAAUUAUUCAAAAUGUACAUAAACAUGAAACAAUCAUAUGAAAAAUAAUUUGGUUGACUAAAUAUUAGUGAAACACAAUUUCAUAUUUUGAUCUACGGAUAGUAGAAAACAAAAUCUACUAACUACGGAUAUGUAGAUCGUAGUUUCGGUUAACUACAUAGAUAUCUGGCGCUUUCAGAUUUUAAAAUCUACGAUUCGGUAAUCUGUCUACUAUCGCAGAAAGAAAAGGUUACGGUUUUACUUACGAUUUGAACGACGAAAGAUUUCACGAACUAAUGUUUCCUAUAUAUCUACUGGCUGAAAAUCACAGAAUCUGCCAGUUACUAAUAAUCUAGCAUGGUAACAUUUUGUUAUCUACUAAGAUACUAUAUCCUAUCUCUACCGGAUUAUACAGUCUAUCGUCAUAUCUACCAUCAUAUAUAAAAUCUACUGGCAGCAGAAUGCAUGUUCUCCCAAAUUCGUAAUCUUUUGGAAAAUAUUCCUAAAAUUUCUCCAAAAUCUGUUAAAAAAUAUUCUGUAAAUCUUUAUUUUCCCAAAUUUUACGUGUUUCCUAAAGUUAUUUUUUUUUAAAUAACCGUGAUCUCUCUUCCUCUUCACAAGUUCUUGAUUAAUUUUGAAACCACUCCAAAAAUUUGAAUCCCUUUUUGAAGAACAUGCAUAUAUAUGCCUCUUGUGGGGUGUGGAAAUUUGAUCCCAGUAAAGAAUGGGGAUUUGCUUUUGAUAAGGAAAAAGGAGGUAGAGUACUGGCUGUGGAAUUGACAAGUUCCUUUGAAUAUCUAAGGACUACGGCGUUUGAGGAUUUUGGAAUUGACCAAAACGAUGUCCAGCUUGAGUUAAGCUACUUACCUAUGGAGUUAAUCAGUACGAUAGGCUGUCCCCCAGUUAUCAUUGGGAAUGAUUGGCAAGUCAAAAAGGAUUGAAGGUUUAAGAUAUUGACAAAUGUCUAACUGACGAUUGUACUUCAAUCUACACCUCUGACUGGAGGGUAGCCUGGUACAAUUAUAGCAUGGUCUCUGAUGAGAUGAAACUUACCUGGUGGGGAGACUUUGUGGUGAGAGUUUUAUGUUACUUCUGUUAGAUUUUUAUGACAUUCUCAUAUUAAUAUAUAUUAUUCUGAUUGCAUAAUCCUUUUCUGUUUCAUUGCAGCAAAAGUAUUAUUGGGACCCCAUUCAUUACAAUGUGGUGCGUUUACAUUGGAAGAAGACAAUGAUGUCGUUGAUCUCCAACUUCAUCAGCAAGCGCAAGCGGAGUGGCAAGAUACCUCCAUUCAUGAGUUCAGAGCACUGGGGUGCUUUGCAAACAUAUUGGGGUACUGAACCUGCUAGAAAGAAAAGCAAGUCUGCUUCUGAAAGCCGCUGCUCAGAUCAAGGAGGUCUAGGUCAACACAUCCACACUGCUGGUUCGACACGAUUUAUGAAGAUCAAAUAUGAUACUAAGUCUGAACUUGUCUGAACUUGCUAAAGAUGUGCUUGCGGUUCAAGUUUCUUCUGUUGCUUCUGAAUCGGCGUUUAGCACUAGUGGGAGAAUUUUGGAUCCUUAUAGGAGUUCUUUGACUCCUUAUAUGAUCGAGGCUUUGAUAUGCACACAACAAUGGAUGCGGUCUUCAAAUCAGUCUCAGCCAGUAGUUGCAAACUUGGCUCAAAUGUUGGAAGAAGUUGACUUUUUUGAGUCAUUGGGUAAGUUUUACAACAAAUGGUGUUUGUUACAUAUUAUGAAUGGUAUGUUAAGCUUUAAUUUUCUUAACUAAUUAAUGGCGUUUUGUUCCUUUUAUAGAUUCUCGAAACUCACAGGCAUGACCAAGUGAGGUUUAGGUACGUGAAGGUACUCACUUUUGUUUGUUUUAGGUGCAUGUUCAUGCUCUGUUUUAAUUGAAAUUUGCUAUGUGAUGGGUUAUGUUUUCUGUUUGUUGUGGAUUUACGUUCUCAAGUCUGUGUCAUUGAUUCUUGAACCUACGAUAUUUUUUCAUUGCUGAUUCUUAUUGGUUAUAAUUUUGUGAUUGGUGAAGGUGAAGCUAAGGAAGUUGUGAAGAAAUGGAGAUGUUCGUUUUUGGUUUUAAGAGAAACAAAUGGGGUUUGUUUUUGGUGUGAAGAGAAAGAGAUGGUGUUUGUUUUUGGUCUCAACCUCUUCAAUCUCAUUUUAAAAUUAUGAAGUUGUAUGAACAAUGUUUUUGUUUUUGCUCUCUGUGGUUUCUGUCAAAAAACUUUAUUUUAUUAUCACACUAUGGAUGGCUGAGACCAAAAACAUUAUGGAUCGUUCAUGUCUGAAUUUUUCAUUUAUCAUUAUCAAACCAUAAUUAACCGAACAAACUGAAUAGGAGCAAACAUAACCGAGAAAACCGUUUAACCCGAGAAAACUGAAAAAAAAUUCAAAAAAAGAAAACGAAAAAACCAAGAAAUUAAACAUUUCGGUUCAAUUCGGACCACAUAAUAAUAUCUAAAACCGAACCGAAUAAACCGAUUUUCAAACCGACCCGAACCGAAAUUUACUUCGGUUUAUUUCGGUGUGAUAAUUCCAAAACCGAAAGAACCGUAAACCGAUUAACCCGACCCGUUUAACCCGAAAAAACCGAAUGCCCAGGACUACUUUUUUCAAUGAAUUUUUUUAUAUUUUAAUUUGCUUUUUUAGUAAAAGAUUGUGGUAGCUAUAUAACAUUGAUUUCAAUAUUUAUGUGUUGAAUAGGACGGUGUGAUACUAGGUGUGGAUACCCGAGCAACUGAAGGGCCCAUUGUUUUCUGAUAAGAAUUAUGAGCAAAUUCACUUAAGGGUACCAAACAUAUAUUGAUGUGGGGCUGAACAGUGCAUUCCAAGUUAUGAAGAGAUACAACAAUGUACUGUUUGAUGGAAGCUCAAUGAAACUAGAGAUUUUGGGUGGAAAUAUGAAGGAUGCUUUUUUGCAAGCUCGUGUUAAUGCAACUGGAAUGAACGAAAGGAUGAAGAGGACUGAUUCCAUUGAGGAUGUCUUGCUAUUUGAUUUGUCCUUUUUCCACUCACGAAAGAAAAGUGAAGUUUGUGACUUUAUACAUGCCACUGAUUAUUGGAGACAAUGAGUUAGAGGCGGGAGAGGCAGACUAGAAAGAUUUGCAACUUCUCCUUUGAGACGCUUUCCAAUGCAAGUGUUAUUGACUCUAAGCACGCUUUCAUAUAAACUAUGUGGCGGUUUCCAUCUUCUAGUCAUAUUAUAUUUAUUGGCAGCCAAAACCAACAAGGAGGUGUUGUGAGAAGCGAGGUGGUAGAGGCAGAGGCCAAGCUGAUGGUGGCAAAGGGAAUAAUGGCCCAGCUGGAGAUUGUCGUCCCUAAAAUUUUUUUAGAAAAUGAAAUAAAGAGCUCGGACAUGGACGUGCAGGAUAACAAUAGCAGUAGGAUUUUUACAGUUGUGGAUCCUCACGUAAACACGCUCAUGUCUGUCUAGGAGCAUCCGGAGCUAAAGCCGCUGUUGGUCAGACUUAUGCAACAAUCUUUUUCCGUAACUACGAGGUAUUUCCGCUUGAGUCAAGAGGUUAGAGGCUGCAACGAGUGUAUGACAGGAUACAAGGUGAUAAUUGCGCUACGAGAUAUCAGUGGGUUACUAACUAAUCAUACGACAGGGAAAAAGCCUCAUCGUUAAGAAAAUUUGCGCCGACCACCGGAGGAGUCAAGAAGCCUCACGUUCCGGAACCGCUGCUCUUCGUGAGAUUGAUUAUAAAAUAAAAUACCAGAAGAGUACGGAGCUGUUGAUCCGUAAAAUUUUAUUAAAUUUGAAGACAGUUAAAUUUACGUGAAUGUAUUUCAAUAAUUUUAAGAAAAACAAGGCAUAUUUUCAUAUUUUCAUAUUAAGAUAUUUAAUAUAUUACUCUUUUCAAUUCUAUACAGUUUCACAAUAUGAGAUUUUUAGUAUAUUUAACAAAGUUUAACUUCAUAAAAGUCUAUAACUAAUUAUAUUUACUAUUUUUAUCUAUAAUUAUAUAAAUUCAAUAUAAAUUAUAUUUUAAUGAUACUUUCAAUUUGCUUUAAUAUAUAUGUAUCAUGUAAAACAUCUUAUAUUAAAAAAAUAUGAUAGGACCGGAUUUUUACUAUACCAUACUCAUCAAAUUUAAAAUAUAUUUUUUUAUUAAACCGAGCAUGCAAUCUAACUUACCAUGUAAAUUUAUUAACAAAACAAUAGUGAAUUAUGUGAUAGUAUUUUUAUAUCUUUCAUUUAAAUAAAAAAAUAAAGAUUUAUUGUAUGUUUAUAUUUUAAAUGGGAUGAAUAAGUCGUUGAUUUAGGUAAUUAUUCGGUAUCAAAAAUCAGAAAAACCAUAUUGGCACAUCACCACAGCUGAAUUUGAGAAACUCAUCCGUAGAAUUAAUCAAGGAGAUUAAUGACAAACUAAGCAAACAAAUGGUGGAGAGUACAUAGGGAGAGCUGAAAAAAAUUGAGAGUUGUACAUUUCGACAGCUGAAAAAAAUAGAAAGCAUUCUACAGCCUCGCCAUUAAAAAAGUUAUACUACUUGCACCACGAAAUGAAAUCAUCGUAAUCAAUGCUUACACUAUUUUCCAUACUGAUGGGAUCUUGAGAAGGUAUCUCAGAUAUUAGAAACUCUUCAAGAACAUAAUAAACAUUAUAUGCGGUUGAGUACUUUUUUUUUGUUUUUUUUUUGGAAUACACGGAUAUGUAUUCACAUAAUUCUCACUUAAUGUCAAUCAAAAAAGAAGAUUAUGUCAUGGUACACGGCUUACUGUGACUUACUUGGUCUCUGUUAUGCUAAAUAUCAAUCAAAAAGAAGAUUACGUAAUGGUACACGGCUCAUUGUGACUUACUUAGGCGAUCGAAAACAGAAAUUAACUGUUAGGGUCUCUCACAGUGGUAAAAGACUUCGCCUAUGUAGGCACCACUGUUUUAUCAAACUAUGUUUUUCUAUGACAAUAAACAAGAACUAAGAUCUAAACUAAAAAAAAAAUUUCCUAUAUUUUGCAAAAUCAAUCUUAACUCAUGGAUAAAAUUAUGUGUGGCUCGCUCACGUGUUAUUGGCAAAACCGGAUUGACAACUAUACAAAAAAAGACUACCUACAAUAUUAUAAAAAAAAGAAAAAAUUGCCAAAACACCACGGAAAAACAACUAUAUUGUCUCUUUACCAUAAAUCCUUUUUUUGGUCGGAUUUGGACUUAGAUCCCCCUGACCAAUUUCAAAAAUUCAUAUCAAUUAUUUUAAGAAACAGAAAAAUAUGAAAAAUUAUUCAAAAUGUACAUAAACAUGAAACAAUCAUAUGAAAAAUAAUUUGGUUGACUAAAUAUUAGUGAAACACAAUUUCAUAUUUUGAUCUACGGAUAGUAGAAAACAAAAUCUACUAACUACGGAUAUGUAGAUCGUAGUUUCGGUUAACUACAUAGAUAUCUGGCGCUUUCAGAUUUUAAAAUCUACGAUUCGGUAAUCUGUCUACUAUCGCAGAAAGAAAAGGUUACGGUUUUGCUUACGAUUUGAACGACGAAAGAUUUCACGAACUACUGUUUCCUAUAUAUCUACUGGCUGAAAAUCACAGAAUCUGCCAGUUACUAAUAAUCUAGCAUGGUAACAUUUUGUUAUCUACUAAGAUACUAUAUCCUAUCUCUGCCGGAUUAUACAGUCUAUCGUCGUAUCUACCAUCAUAUAUAAAAUCUACUGGCAGCAGAAUGCAUGUUCUGCCAAAUUCGUUUUAUGUUACUUCUGUUAGAUUUUUAUGACAUUCUCAUAUUAAUAUAUAUUAUUCUGAUUGCAUAAUCCUUUUCUGUUUCAUUGCAGCAAAAGUAUUAUUGGGACCCCAUUCAUUACAAUGUGGUGCGUUUACAUUGGAAGAAGACAAUGAUGUCGUUGAUCUCCAACUUCAUCAGCAAGCGCAAGCGGAGUGGCAAGAUACCUCCAUUCAUGAGUUCAGAGCACUGGGGUGCUUUGCAAACAUAUUGGGGUACUGAACCUGCUAGAAAGAAAAGCAAGUCUGCUUCUGAAAGCCGCUGCUCAGAUCAAGGAGGUCUAGGUCAACACAUCCACACUGCUGGUUCGACACGAUUUAUGAAGAUCAAAUAUGAUACUAAGUCUGAACUUGUCUGAACUUGCUAAAGAUGUGCUUGCGGUUCAAGUUUCUUCUGUUG
rnacentral:lncRNA from 1 species